ensembl:misc_RNA 7SK 7SK RNA
GCGUAUGUGGGCGAUCUGGCUGCGACAUCUGUCACCCCAUUGAUCGCCAGGGUUGAUUUGGCUGAUCUGGCUGGCUAGGCAGGUGUCCCCUUCCUCCCUCACCUCUCCAUGUGCGUCCCUCCCGAAGCUGCACGCUCAGUCGAAGAGGACGACCUUCCCUGAAUAGAGGAGGUCUUCGGUCAAGGGUAUAGGAGUAGCUGCGCUCCCCUGCUAGAACCUCCAAACAAGCUCUCAAGAUGGGUUGUAGGCAAGCCUGAAGGGCAUUUUCUUAAUCACUGAUUGAUGGGGGAGGACCCAGCUCA